GUUCAUAGCUCAGGAUGAACGCUGGCGGCGUGCCUAACACAUGCAAGUCGAACGAAGCUUGACGGAUGAUUUCUUCGGAAUGAAACCAGAUAUGACUUAGUGGCGGACGGGUGAGUAACACGUGAGCAACCUGCCUUUCAGAGGGGGGAUAACGGCUGGAAACGGUCGCUAAUACCGCAUGAUGUGUUCGGAUGGCAUCAUCUGAACAUCAAAGAUUUAUCGCUGAAAGA
rnacentral:rRNA from 1 species